rnacentral:lncRNA from 1 species
AAGGACAGGACAGAAACAUCAAAGGGAAUUCAAAGCCGCCACUUCCCCCGAGUUGUGACUCAGAGUCACCCACCAGCCACCCCCACCCGACCUGAUCAUCACCUUGUCUUGUAUUAGCUCCCUGCAGCAGCAGCAGCAGCAGCAGCAGCAGCAGACGCGCCGAGAGAGAGAGAGAGAGAGAAUCUGAGGGGGAGCCAUGGCAGAGAACGGCGGCGCAGUCCACCUCGACCGCAAGCUCCGGGUCAGGCUCGAGCCGCCGCCUCCGCUCCCGACCGCCUCCGCCGCGGCACUCGAUCGCNNNNNNNNNNNNNNNNNNNNNNNNNNNNNNNNNNNNNNNNNNNNNNNNNNNNNNNNNNNNNNNNNNNNNNNNNNNNNNNNNNNNNNNNNNNNNNNNNNNNGAGAGCAUUGGCGUUGCCAAAUAUUUUUUUGAGCCUCUUAAUUUUUCUUUUUUAUCAUUUUUAUCCCAAGGUAAUGUCAUAAUACAUUGUAGUCUAUCUUUCCGAUUUUUAACCAGCUGGGUUUUUUACUGAAUUGAUCUUGUGCACCGUUCUUGCCCAAAAUUAACCAAAGUCUGUGCAUACCCAUAAUUCCUAACUAAUCGAAUUAGGAGGAAAGAGACUCCGUAGUUAUUCAAUUUCGAAAAAAGAAAGGUAUCCCAACUUUGUGCCUAUACACAAGAGAAAGAGAGAGAGAGAGACUUCUUGAAAUUUUGUCGAAUUUGAUCAAUCGAUAUGGUGAUCGGCGGUACGGUGGCCGUGAUGGGAGAGCCUCAGCCCGCAGCUGGUGGACUCGUGGGGCUUGUCGUCCUCCUCUGGAGACGCGCCUCCGUCAUCCGGCACUUCCUGUUGCUCGGCCUAGUCCGUGUGGGAGCCGGGAUUCGUCUCCCCUGAUUCCGAUCUGGGCGUCCUUGACGCUGAGCGGUUGAUCGAGCCGAGGCUCCUUCCCUCCUGCAAACACCACCCGCUAUGUCUCAUUAGAAAAUGUCCUCUCUCCACUGCCUGGUGUGCAGUGCUCGAUCGCCAAAGGCAUCAAUUGCACAUACUACUCGUGAUCAGUAAAACGACGCUUUGGACAUCUCGAACCUCGCUCUAACGACGACAGUGAAAGGGGGAAGAUAGCUGUGUCCUAAGUAGGGAAAUUUCUGUACCUUGAAAUUGAGAAUCUUAGACUGAGAGGCCAAGUACUGCAUGGCUCGAGCGAAGGCGUCCUGUGCGAAAUCCGAGGUGUAUUGCCUGCAGGGAGAAGCGAACUCCCACGCUCUCGCCUUCCACUCCUCCAGCUUCUCGUCGAUUUUGCUCUCGUGCUUCUUCAUGAACUGAUCCUGCAGCGUCUCGUACACAUGCCCAGUUCCCUGCAUUUUCGAAAGCAGAAGCAAAACAUCAGAUUGAAUUUCACCUCCUUUUUGUGAAGUGUUGUCAUCGGGUUGAAAAGCCUUCUUUCGACAAUUCAAGGGGCUUGUUGGGGUGGGUUUUUUACCUCGGUUUUAGGAUGCCACAGGUAGAUGAUGAAACCCAGCUUCAGUGGGUCCCAAUACAUUGGGAAGCCUUCAACCAAGAGAAGAAAGACAACAAGAAGGGAAAGGAUUUAUUUGAAUAGGGGGUGUACAUGAAUGUCAUGUAAGGCUCUGAUGGAAUAUGGUUCUGCUUACCAUGAGAUCAAGACGUCGGCAAACCUUUCCAGGACGGUGAACAUCGUCACAAUGAUCCUGCAAGCAUUCGAUACUCGCACAGAUGAACAAUUUCCUCAUGCUUCAUUUAACGUUGAGAAGGAUCGGGAAACAUAGAGACAGAACAAAGCAGAAAAAGGAAUAUCGACUCCAUAUAGUCAGAGUAAUCAUCAAAGCGACGCCCUCGAGUCACAACUUGAAUAGCAUCUGCCGGAAUUCAUUGAAUUGCAGUAGGAAAGGAAUUGCAAUGAGUCGUCGACUCCUAUACGCGAUAUGGUUCAAUGUAAUUCAAGCAUUCUCGCAGAAAAGAUAAGUAAUUAAAGGCAUUGUAUCAAUCCCUUAGAAUCAAAGAAGGGUUAUUUCCCUCACCAAUAUUGACACCACUGCCUGAGUUCCUUGGUCUGCUCCCCAUUCUUCGCCACCUCGGUGUUCUUCGCCAUGGUUUUGUAACACUGGAAUGCUGGGUACACAUACCCGAAAACGAACCUGCCAUGUCGAUGAAAACCCAACACGAGAAAUCCAAUCAAUUUCCAAAGAGAGCAUUUUUCACCCUCUUCUUUCACAUUACCAAAUGGGAGGUGGGGAGGUGGUAACAUAAAGAAGCGAUUUUACAGAAGAAAACGGUGGCAUACAAAAGGCAUCGGGUGAUGAAAUUCCACAGCAUUCUCAGAUCAUUGCACACGGGUCGUCCGGCACCCUGCCGAAGCUUUUUGCAUUGCAAACGAGAAUCUCGGUCACCACCGCAUCGUCCUAUUUUGCAGGGAAAGAAAAAGAAUGACUUAGCAAAAAAGGCAAAAAAGAGUAUCGAUUUCUAAGCCGCAGGGGCGAGCUUGUUGGACGAAGCCAAGAAUGUCGAGCAACCAAAACAAGAAAAGCGGAAAAAAAAGACACGAAAUCAGACCGUGCAUACCAGAGAGGGAGACUAAUUGCAGGCAAAGUUAAAACGGUGAAAAUGGGCUGGAGAUGCUUGGGAAGCGAAGGGAGAUUAAGGAUCUCUUGAAUUGCUGCUUGGGGCGAGGAAGAAGGCUACGUUUAUUUAUACAUGAAGGGGAAGGCUCGCAUGAGAAUUCGAGACAACCUCCUGGGGGAUUGGUCGUGCGGUACUGGACAAAACGACUUUCGGACGUGGAAGUUGCCAUGUUCGCUUCAUCUUUGCUCCGAAAACGGCAAACAAGUACUUGCCUAAUUGUCGGCGUCGUCUGUACUAAGCUAUGCUACAGACGAAGAUCUUCGAGACUUGCUUUCAGAUGAAAUAAGGAAUGGAUUUGGUUUGACUGGCCCAAGAUAAAGAUGUCACAGGAGCUUGCAACUCAAGGGAAUAGAUUCACUGUGUUUUAUCGCCAGCGUACCGAAGGCAACAGUCAACAAGCACCACUAAAUGGCAAGGAAUGAGACGUAAAGAAGAAGACAAUGGACACUGGACAGUAAGCUAUCCUGAUGUAUUGGAAACUUAGGAUAUUGGAACAAAGCUUUAACAUGUGCCCUAUCCAAACCGACCACAGCCGGAAGAUUUGUAAGCAGUUUCAGGCCAUAGCACUUGAGUUCGAUCGUAGUGAAAAUUUCAAGUGACUCGGACUAGACCUCAAAAAAGGUGCCUGCACAUCCUCACAUGAUCUAUUGAGGAACUAGAAAUUGUUUUACCGAGUAACAUGGCAAUGUAAUGAAGUGAGAAUUUGACUGCGGAUGGAGGCAAUGCUCACACUUUUAACAUCUCUAGUUCUUUCCCGAGUAAUGCGAGGAAGUGGCCAGUUUCAAGCUAUCAACCUAGGUCUAUCAUCGUGCAAAAAAAAAAAAAAAAAAACUAGGUCUAUCAAUAUGUCCAUCAUACUAAAUUUAUGGAAACAAAACAGAAACAGAAAGUUAUGGAUCGUGAUAUUGCGUUAACUUCAAAAGAAAUGUUCAAGCUCCACGUGAGAAAACCUCUUCUCAAUAGAAAAAAUGCGGGUUGAACAAUUAAUGGUGCAUUUGGUAACGUUUCUGUUCAAAAAUUAUUUUAGGGAACAGAAAUAGAAAAAACUAUUUAUGUUCCUUAAAACAAUUUUUGAACAGAAGAAUGCGUUUAGUAACUGUACAAAAUUUCUGUUCCCGGAAUAGAAAAAGAACAUAAACACGUUUGGUAAACUUCUAUAAUUUUUUUUGUUUAUUUUAAUAUUUUUAAAUAUAUAUUUUUUUCAUUUUUCUUCCUUUUGGCCAGUCGUUAGCCUCGGCCAUGGUCGGUGACCAGCCGACAAGGACCGGUGGCCUCGCCCAUGGCCGGCGACCGGUCAACGAGGGCAAGCGGCCUCAUCUAGCCACGGAGAGGCUCGCUAGCCUCCAGCGAGGCCAAGCUUGCGCAGUCAAGGUGGGGCCGAGCCUCGCCGGGGGCCGGUGACACUCCAGCGAGGUCGCCGGCCAAAGAAAAAAGAAGAAGAAAAGAAGAAGAAAAGAAAGAGAAGGAAAAAAUAGAAGAGAGAAAAAUUAUUUCUCGAAAGUAUUCCCGGGAACAAAAAACAAGUUUUUAUCAUUUCUUGUUUCUGUUUCAAAUGUGUUCUCGAGAACAAAAGUGUAAACAAACGUAUUUCUGUUCUUUUUUUUAUUUCUGUUCUUUUUUUGUUCCCCAUAACAAAAGAACAUAAAUUGUAUUUCGGGGAACAAAAAAAGAACACAAACAAACAACCCCUAAAUAUCUUUCUUUAAAAACAUAAAAACAUUUGAAGCUACUGGCCGCUGGCCAGUCCUAGUGAAGAAAAUAUCACAAAGACAUUUUCCUUUCGAUUUUGUUAGUUACAAGGAAAAAUAUAUUUAUGCGCCCAUACACCAGUAAUUUCAAUUUGCUAUAAUUUAUUCAAGUUAUUUUACUAAAUGGAAAAUGAAAAAGUAGGUUCUUUUAAGAAAAUAUGGACUUAAUGGGAAUCUUGUAAAUACAUAAUGCUUAAAAAAGAGCGGGGCUAAUCAAAUUAUAGUUUUUUUAGGAGGAAAUAUGGCCUAUAAAUUUUUCACAAGAGAAAUGUGAUAGUCUUUAAUCUAUUGUGAAAAUAACAGCCUAUUCUGAACUACAAAAAAUCGAAUAAGAAAUAAUUAUAAAUGGUUGUGGGAUCUAUCUUUUAAGAAUUUAUGGUUCACAACAAAUUAUUAUUUUUACAGUAAUACAUGAUGUUGAUUAUCAAUAAUUUUACUGACAAGUUGCCGAUUUUCUUCAAUUCGUCGAUUGUGAGUUCAUUGGUGACUUUUGUUUCCAUCAAACUUUGAUCUCAUCGAUUAGGUUUGUGAGCUGCAGAAAAUGACCCAAUUCUUUUUACUUUUUGGUGUCAACAGGUACAAUCCGUGUGCCAUACAAACCGGCGAAACAUCCUCGCAACCUUGUACGGGCACUAUGACGUUUAAGGACGUAAAAAGGUAAAAUUGGAAAGCAGUCUCGUGAAGAUGCGACGGAGACGGAGACGAAGACGAGACGAAGACGAAGACGAAGACUUGAAUGUUCCAAAGGGAAGUACAUGGGUCACGCGUGACCUUCGACACAACUCAUCUGUUAUGUCGCACAUGUUGACAUGAAUUGCCGGGAAGGCGAGUGGCCAUGGAUGCCGCACGCUCCGAUGGGUAGUUGUAGGGUGAAUGUUUCACUCGUAUUGGAGUAUAUUUCAAUUGUCCCUUUUGAAAGGAUCGCGGUGAUGUCCAAAUUAGAUCAUUCAAAUAGUUUUGAUACAGUUAUACUAUGCUUAACACGCUCACGACGUGUUUGCUAACGAUCAAUUGAGUCAAUUUUUGAUACAUUAUCUCCAUAGAUUUUCAUUACUAUAUCGAAAAAUUGUUAAGAAAUCACAACUGCUCGGAUUGAGAUUCGUUUAUUGUUCAUAGUAUGUUUUGUAUCAAUCCAGUGAUGAAAGAUUACCGUGAGAGAUUAUGAACUUUUAACUGCAAUUCGGCCUAAAAAUUAAACCCGGACUAUAAAUAUUACCACGUGAAAAAGGUGGAGUCCAAAUUCCGAUACAGUACGAUCCACAAUAAAUUAUAAGGCUGAUUGUCAGAUUUACGUGGAGCUGGGGCCGACCGAUAACGUGAAAAAACAACCCCCCUCCCCCCGCCGCGGGGUCCCCUUCCCGUCCCGGAAAAUUGGAAAAAAACGUAGCAAUUCUUGAGCCCGAAGUUUGAUUUUUUUUUUUUUAUUAGUCUUAUUCUAUUCCUACUUUACACUCAUUUUCAGACUUUUGUCCUAUCUCUUACAGGGCGUGAGAGUCGAAACCCACUUUUGAAAUUUACGCGUUCCUACUCCAUCCCCCUGAAAAUGUGAGAAUUUGAACCCUUCAUUUCCUCCUUCUAUGUUGAAAAUGUGAUCACCGAGGCGAAUUCCAGUGGUUCCCGAAAUUUGAUUUUGACAUGCGAUAAAGGGUACUCUUUUUUUGUCAAAAUAAGUUUCCUCCUGAGAUGAAGAGACUCUUGCUUGCAACCACACCCGUGUGCUGUCAUAUGCAUAUCUUUAUUACAUGAUUACAUGACCUCAAUGAAAGAGUUGGACUUAGUGUCAAUAUUACCUUGAUUUCACAGCCACAAUUGUAUUGAAAUUUGCUAGUGGAAAUCUUAUUGAGAAAACAUUCAGCUUCAUGGAUAUCGCAUCUUUGUUAUUAACUUAUUAUUCGUCCCUCUCUCCGGAAGUCUUCAUUGGCUUUAUUUCUGAGUAAAUUGUUAAUUUUAUCUUUGCUCUAAAUCCAUUCCGUAGUUAUGCGUGGAGAGUACCGCAUGAAAUGUAAACAUGUAUAUGAUUUUACUUACGUAUUUUCAGGUAAUUGUGAGAUUUCACGUGGACUUGAAUUUAGUUGCUUUUAACUUAUGCUUUCCUUUGGUGCGGAUUGGGCAUUACGAGAGACAAUAGGAACAUGUAUUGCUCUUACCGAAGAGGGUGAGUCUCCUUUGAUUUAAAUUCAUCUCAUAUCCAUGGAUCAUAGUGGCAAUGACCGAUAUUUAAUUGAUAAGAGAAUCUUAUGUCUUUAAAAGCAUGAGGGAUUCCAUUCACUUUAGUUUUCUGGCUUUCAGGAUGUUUGGUAUGCGGACAUCUUUUCUAUGUAUUAAGAAGCCAAUUGUAGUGUGAAAGGAUCUGUCGAAGCAAAUUUAUUAUGUCUUUUUGGAGGCGAGGGGAGUUGUAUUGUUUCAUUGGUAAUUAUUAAAGUGUUGUCCAUUGCAAACUGAAACAGAUUGUCAAAAGAAUGUUUACUGAAAUUUUACGUUUAAUGCUUUCAUCAUUGACUGCCUACCCGUUGUCGUUCAAUCAAGAGUUACGUACUUUUAGGGAAUUAAGAGGAUUGAAAGCUUCUUGGUCUUGCAUUCAGCAUAAGUGAAAAAGUACAUUUUAUGCUUUCACACCAAAAUAUAAAAUGUUACCCAAGCCUAAAAAGUUGUGAAAAAAAAUAUAUGCAAAUCUACGUGCCAAUAGUUAUAUGAUGCGAACGUUUCAUGUAUUGAGGAGAAAAGUAUGUGCACCGCAGGAUUUAGAUUAAAUUAGAAAGGAAAAGUUAAUCCAGACCUGCUCUGAAUUAGACUUAUGAUAAAGGAAGUUUACUUUCUUAUCAUGGGACGGCAAAAGGAAGUCUACUUUCUGCUAUCGUGCUUCGUCGUGAAGAAGUCCAAUUCUUUUUCCGUAGGCCUCUGUUGGCUCCUAUGUCAAUGGCUACCUUUCUCUCCGGUAUCCUCUACCUAUAUGUUUAAUGAUCAUCUUCUUCAUGCAAUCAUGCUUGUUGACACCUAAAUUUUAACAAUCUAAUCAUUUAUUUAUUAUAUAGCAUAUAGUUUUAUGAGCAUUUAUUAUAUAACUUAUAUUUUCAUUAUGCGCAUUAGCAUUGGACCGCGGUGGAUGGUUUUGAGCUUAAAAUUUCGAUAGUGGAGCCCAUGAAAUAAGGGAAAAAUUUGGCUAAGCCUAGAAGGCUAGGUGGCUGAAAAUCACAUGAAAACUACUUUAAUUGGCCAUGGCCUCGCAAGAUUGCCUUUGCCCCCUACCGGUGAGGCCAUGGGGAGGCUGCCUUGCCCAGAACCCUUGUUGGCCACUGCAAGUGCAAGUGGUGGCGGAAGAAGAAUAACAAUAGGAAGAAAAGAAAAAAUAAAAGGAAAAAAAUUAUUAAAAAAUUAAAAAAAUAAAAGAUUAUUAAAAAAUUAUCUUAUUAGCAUCGGUUGGACACUCAUCACUAAUUGGCCGAAUUUAGCCAGAUGGAUUGAAUUGACAUAAAUACAAAAUGUCGAUAACUGAAUUGGCCAAAAAAAAAUUCAUGACUUAAUUGACAAAAUUAUAAUAAGUUUAGGAUUUUUUUUAGUAAUUUUUCCCAUGGAAAACUAACACAGAUCUAGGCUCAAUUCGUUUCGCAGAAAAUAAUUUCUGGGAAAAUGUUUUCUGGAUUUUCCGGCGUUUGUUUCACGGAAAAUGAAUUCCUUGGAGAAAAUGUUUUCCAUGAAAGGAAAAACGUCUUCUUAAUUAUGGGAAAAUGUUUUCCACUUUUGAAAAGUGGAAACAUUUUCCUUACUUGAUCUUUCUUAUCUCAUACCUCUACAAAUCAUCACUUCCGCCUCCCCUUUCUUCUUCUUCUUUCCUUUUUGUAUUCAAAUUAAUUUUUAAUUUUCUUUUUCUUUUCUAAUUCGAAUUAUUUUUAAUUUCCUUUUUCUUUUCUAUUUCUUUUUUUUUCUUUGUUUCCCAUCUUCUUCUUUCUUGGCUAGUCGUCGGCCAUUGCUAGGCGAACCUCGAGCUCGUCGAUCUCAAGCUCUCGCUUUGCACUCUUACUUAUCAUUUUCUUUAUUUACUUUACUCUGCAGUUGUACAUUACUCAAGUAAAGGGUUCUACAUGAUUUGCUUCUUUUUUCUUUUGUUUAUUAGAACACAAAAAAGUAAGGAAAGAAUAGGCCACUCAAGUGGAAGAUUCUCAUUAGGGCUAUACAUGCUUUGCUUCUUUUCUCUUUUGCUUCUUUUUAAAAUCUAUACGAACAUUUUUUAGAGUAGAUAAGCGUUUGGUGACAAUGAGGGAACAAAUAUAUGAAGCAAGUUUGCCUGAAUUUAAAGACAAGUUCAUAUUUGAUGGAUUUAUAAAUCGGUAAGUGAUGCAUGCCUAUGUGGUGAAGUUUUAGAAAAUAUUUUCCUUAUCGAACAUUGGAAAAUAUUUUCCAAAACAUUUUCAAGUUUUAGCCGAACACCAGAAAAUAUUGUCAUUUUCCUGGAAAAUGACUUUUGGGAAAAUGACCAAUUUUCCACGAAACGAAUGGACCCCUAGAUUCUAUUUAUUUCACGAAAAAUAAAUGAUUUAAAAAAAAUUCUCUAAAAAUAAUUGCUUAAAUCGUUAAUAAAAAUUAAUAAACGACAAUAUUUUCACCGUUUACAAAAACAUUUAGACACAAAUUGUUAUAGAUGAUGAAAACAUUUUGUAUUGAUUAAUUGUUUUAAGUAAUAUAAAUAAUCAUUUAAAAAAAAUAUUUUUUAAAUUAUUUAUUUUUUUCUGAAACAAACGGUACCUUAAAAAAGUGAAUAUUGACAGAGAAUUUAUUUUCAACCGUUGUUCUAAAAAUGUGGAACUGGAAGACUCGCCCACCAUCACUAAAGAGUCUAGAGAAGGCAACUUAUCUACCCCAAAAGGUUGGAAUGACAGUUGCUCAAGUCAAAUCUACGUGCAACAGAUGAGGCCAACUGUAAGUAGGCCUUCCCUUGCUUGGCCAGUAGAGUACGUUUUAGGUAAGUUUAAGCUUUAAUUAAAAGGGUCAUUUGAUCCUAAUCAGAUAAAAAGAACGCAAAUACGUGCAGAACACUAAAGAAGACAUUGGACAAACACUUACUUAUUGCAUGGCCAUUGACAUAAUCAAAAGUCUAACAAACCAGUUGUCCAAAUGCUGAUAUGAGAAGACUGGCUGCAUGAAUGAGAUGCAUCAUUGGUCCUUGCAAGUCCUAGAAUUUGUGGCACCACUUGGCACUUAUCUAGAAGCUACGUAUAGAGAUGGGACACAUGAUUUUCCUGAUUUCCCUCGACGUUGAACUCAUGUUGCCCCAUUGACAUCCCAUAUGAUAAAUUAAGCAAAUAGGUGGAAGAGUAACUUUAAUUCGAUUACUUCAAUACCAUGCCCACUGUUACUAACUUACAAACGUGCAGCUAAACAUCAAUGGUUGGUCAUGGGACAAGCAACGAUUCUGUACUUAGGGAACGACGAAUCCUAUAACUAAUUUUUACUGUGCGCAGGAGUACAAGCAACCGUGCAGUACUAUCAUCUCAUUGUUAGUUUCCUUAUUCUCUCAAACCAGAAGCAAUGACUUAAAAAGAGGGUAAUUUCAACGAGGAAAAGUACAAAUAAUGCGAAUACAUCCAAACAUAAUAAGGCUUUGAAUCUUUCUUCAAAGAAAGUCUCGGGUCCACAGUUCAUCAACUCAGGCGUGCAGAAUAGGCAAUACGUCAUCACUUCUCAAGCCUCCAACCUCAAGCAAUUGAAUACGAUCCCUCUCGCUUUAAUACUGUUUCUUUAACGCAUGCGCUUUCUAGACACCCUUUUUCCUAUUUACAUUGAGGCCGGUACUAGCAAACCUAGAAACCACAAAUUAAAUUGACCACAGAUCAAGACCACUAGAGCUUGGUAAAGUACGAACCAGCAUAACAAGUUGACCAGAAAUUGUAAAAACCACAAAUCAAAGUGACAUCACAAAAGCGCGAAUGAACCUAAGCAGCUAAGAAAUAAACCAGAUAUACAAUCACUAACACAUUUCUUGAAGAACCUUCGUGCGCAACAUGAACGGAGAAAUUUUACUUGGGAAAAGGCGCAAGCACGGCAUGAAGGAAGAGAGCUCAAGGCAAGAGAGCUCAAUGGUCGGCAUGAGGAAAGAAAGGCGAGUGGCCUCUUUGAGUGACGAGAGGAGCGCAAGGAAACGUAGAGAUGUGUUGUGAGUGAGGAGACGAUUGGGAAAUCACGGAUGAUAAAUGAGGGUGGGAUGGGAAAUUGACAUUUUCAUUAAAUUAGAGCCGAAAGCAUUCUUAAAAUGUUACUUGUCAGAACUUUCCAAGAGUUUUAGAUAUGUAAUUGUUUUUUUUUUUUUUUGGUACCCAGGGAACCUCCGUGUGCCGCUUCACAGUGGAGUAAACCCUGGAGGAGCAGGAGAGUCACCACCACCCUUUCUGCCCCGGGCAAGUCGUGGGUUAAUAUGUAAUUGUUUCUCCCAAAAAUCUUCAAAAAAAAUUAUCAAACAUCAUUUACUUUGGGCUAAUGGCAUUUAGAACCCUAGAGAGCUUUGGCAAAGCAUUGUCAAAGCAUUUGUCAGGCCCCCUUCAUGUGUUUUAAAUUUUAACUCAGAACUUUCAAUUCUAUCAAAAAUAUAUAUGACCUUUGCAGUUAGGCUUUGCAUGGUAAAAGCCUGUUCGGUAACCAUUCUAUUUUUUGGAACAAUUUAUAUUCAGAAAUGAUUCUCUUUUAUUUUAUUAUCCGGAUAAAUUUCUAAGUAUUUGGUAACUACCUAAAAUUUCUAUUUUCAGAAUAGAAUUGCGUUUGGCAUCGCCACUACCGUUUUCUUUUAAUUUUUUUUAAUAAUUUUAUUACUUUUUCUUUUUUUCUUUUCUUUCUCUUCUUCUUCAAGCUUUGGCUAGUUAGCGACCUUCAGAUGACUAGCGAUUGGCUAGACAAGAGCCAAUGACCUUGUGAGAGCAUUGUUAGCUCCCAGUGAAGUAGAGUUUGCCUAGCUACCAGUGGGGCUUGACCUCGCCAGGCCACCACAAGAUUGAGCCUUGUUGGCAAUUGGGCAAGCCUCGUUUGGCUAGGUGAGGCAUGCCAGUGGCCGGGGGAGGCUCACUUGGCCAUUGGCAAGACUUAGCCUUGCCUAGAUUUGGUGAGGCUGAGCCUCGUUGAUGACUAGGUGAGCCUCCGGCGACUGGCGAUAGCGGCUCACGAUGGUGGAUGGCGGUGGUGGCAUUGGAAAAAGAAGACAAAAAAAGAAAAAAAGAAAAAAAGAAAUUUGGAUUGACUUGAUUCUGGAAUUGUUCUUGGGAACAAAGAAUAACUUUUUUUCUUACUCAUUUGUUUUGUUCCAAAUUUAUUUGUUCUCAAGAAUAAAAAAUUUAUUAAACGGAUUUCUGUUCUUUUCUAGUUCCCGGAAACAAAAUAAUAGAAUCGAGUACUAUUUGAAUGGUUGCCAAACAUAUUUAAGGCUCCGUUUGGCAACGCUUUUGUUUAUUUGUUUAUUUGUUUAUUUUUUCUUUUGCUCCUCAAAAAAGAAAAAAAAAUAGAAAUCUGUUAGGUAACAUCAAUUAAUUUUACUAUUCCCUGGAAUAAAAAAAUUGCUCAUGAAAUAGAUUUGGAAUUGUUCCAAACCCUCUUUUUGAUAACAUUUUUAUUUUGGGAACAAUUUCUUUUCAAAAUUAUUUUUUAUUCUAUUUCUAUUUCCUUGAACAAUUUAUGAGUAAAAGAACAUAUUUGGUAACUAUAUAGAAUUUUAUUCUCGGAAUAGAAAAACACUAGGAAUGUAUUUGGUACAACUUAUAAUUUUUUUGUUUUUUGUAACGUGGAGUUUCUUUUUAUUUUUUAAUAAUUUUUUGGGUUUUUCUUUUUCCUUCUCUUCUUCUUGCUCCUCCUCUAGCUGGUGACUAGCAGUAGUAGUGGCAAGCAAUGGGCAGGGGUGGCAAGGAAGAAGAAGGAAAAAAGAAGAAGAAGAAAGAAAGUGACUUAUUUUUAAAAAUUAUUUACGAAAAUAAGAAGUUAUUUUUUUUUCUAAUUCUUGUUUCUGUUCCAAAUCUAUUCCCUUACUACUUUUUUAUGUCAAGAAAUAGAAAAAUUAAUUGACGUUAUCAAACGGAUUUUUAUUCAUUUUUUUUUUUUGUUCCAGAGAACAAAAGAACAAAAGAACGGACGAAAGCCUAGCAAAUUCUUGAGUGUGAAGUUUGAUUCCAACAUGCGAUAAGGGGGAUUCUUUUUUUGUCAAAAUAAAAAUUUGUCCCAAACUCGAGUAAUGACCAUAAAUUUUUACUAGACAUGUAAUGGUGAAUUGAAUGAUUAAUCGAGCAUUGGAAUCUCAUGAUAAAUGUCUGUACGGAGCACACCCGCACUCGUGUAUCACGUUCGCACUCUAAUAUAGUACAGGAAUUUCAAUUCACCUCCCACGAUGCCUCCGCGAGGGAGGCAGGGACGAUCGGGGGGUCAAACUGUUGUGGGGGCACCCAUCAAGAGGAGCCUCCUCCCGUCGCCUCGUGUAAAAGGAGCCACACAGAAAUUAGCAAAAAGGGUGCAUUUUGUCCUUGCUUUUUCCCCCAACGUAAAACGGUCUCCCCGUCCCUUUCGCCUCUCUUUAAAUGUCUCAUUAGCAUAGCACCGGGGGAGGAACUUAUGCUCCAAUGAAAAAGAAGACGAGGUUUGUUCUGCACCACAUACUUCACAAAAGAAAAAGAAAAAGAAAAGAAAAGGCGUUUAUCCAAAAACGGGAGAUUCCUAAUCGGUACUAAUCAUAUAGAAUCAUGGAUGAAGCGGACCGGUAGGGCCGGAUCAAGCCGAUCUCAUUCUUGGGUUCCGAUCGAUUGGUUCGAAGUGCAGUGCCCCACAUUCGAAUGCGCGGUUCACCAGCGCCUAGGGCGAUCGUGGCAGUCCGUUCGAGUCGGGACCUAGAUCCGCAAGGAACAUUCGUGGGCGUUCUAAUAAAGUAAUAAAAGAGGAAAGGAAGAAAGCGGAGAAGUGGGGGAUAGAUCGGCCGGAGCACAGCUACGCGCGGCAAUGGCCCCCAAUCCGGAAAAGGGCUUUUUGUCCCCCGCGCCCACGCGCCUGCUCCCGGAAAGAAAAGGCCCAAAAAGCAUUUUCCAACCACAAGGACUAAAACUAAAACCAGAGGAAAUUCAAAGCCGCCACUUCCCCCGAGUUUUGACUCGGAAUCACGCACCACUCCUGACCAGAUCAUCACGUUGUAUAGCAGCAGAAGAGACGACCUCUGCUCUGUUCUGUUCUGUUCUGUUCUGCCUCCUUCAGAUUCUCUCUCUCUCUCUCUCUCUCUCUCUCUCUCUCUGUCAUCCAGCCAUGGGAGAGAACGGUGGAGCAGUCCACCUCGAGCGCAACCUCCGGCUCAGGCUCGAGCCGUCGCCUCCG